rnacentral:rRNA from 1 species
UACGUAGGGGGCAAGCGUUGUCCGGAUUUACUGGGCGUAAAGCGCGCGUAGGCGGAAGUGUAAGUCUGGCCUGAAAGCCCCCGGCUCAACCGGGGAGGGCGGCUGGAAACUGUGCUUCUUGAGGGCGAUAGAGGAGUGUGGAAUUCCUGGUGUAGCGGUGAAAUGCGUAGAUAUCAGGAGGAACACCGGUGGCGAAGGCGGCUUUCUGGACAGAAACUGACGCUGAGGCGCGAAAGCUAGGGGAGCAAACAGG